rnacentral:rRNA from 1 species
AUUGAACGCUGGCGGCAGGCCUAACACAUGCAAGUCGAACGAGUGGCGGACGGGUGAGUAAUGUCUGGGAAACUGCCUGAUGGAGGGGGAUAACUACUGGAAACGGUAGCUAAUACCGCAUACCAUCGGAUGUGCCCAUAUGGGAUUAGCUAGUAGGUGGGGUAACGGCUCACCUAGGCGACGAUCCCUAGCUGGUCUGAGAGGAUGACCAGCAAAACGGGAACGGAGAAACGGGCCAGACUCCUACGGGAGGCAGCAGUGGGGAAUAUUGCACAAUGGGCGCAAGCCUGAUGCAGCAAUGCAGAGGGUAUGAAGAAGGCAUUAGGGUUGUAAAGUACGUUCAGCGGGGAGGCGUUACCCGCAGAAGAAGCACCGGCUAACUCCGUGCCAGCAGCCGCGGUAAUUC